rnacentral:rRNA from 1 species
UACGAAGGGUGCAAGCGUUGCUCGGAAUUAUUGGGCGUAAAGGGUAGGUAGGUGGUCUUACAAGUCUGGGGUGAAAGCCCUGAGCUCAACUCAGGAAGUGCCUUGGAAACUGUAAGACUGGAGUAUCGGAGAGGGUCGUGGAAUUCCCGGUGUAGCGGUGAAAUGCGUAGAGAUCGGGAGGAACAUCAGAGGCGAAGGCGACGACCUGGACGAUUACUGACACUAAACUACGAAAGCGUGGGGAGCAAACAGG